rnacentral:rRNA from 1 species
CACACAGUAAACGAUGAAUGCUAGGUGUUGGGGGGCAAAGCCCUUCGGUGCCGCCGCAAACGCAGUAAGCAUUCCACCUGGGGAGUACGUUCGCAAGAAUGAAACUCAAAGGAAUUGACG